ACCGCCUCUGACUAAAGGAGGAGGAAGAAGUGGUAACGGUAGGUCAGCAUGCCCCGAAUUAUCUGGGCUACACGCGGGCUACAAUGGGUGGGACAAUGGGUAUCGACACCGAAAGGUGAAGGCAAUCUCCUAAACCCAUCCGUAGUUCGGAUUGUGGGCUGCAACUCGCCCACAUGAAGCUGGAAUCUGUAGUAAUCGUGUCUCAAAAUGGCACGGUGAAUAUGUCCCUGCUCCUU
rnacentral:rRNA from 1 species